rnacentral:tRNA from 1 species
GCAUUGGUGGUUCUGUGGUUGAGUUCUCACCUUCCAUGCAGGAGACCUGGGUUCGAUUCUCAGCCAGUGCA